rnacentral:rRNA from 1 species
GGGUUGUGAGGUUAAGCGACUAAGCGUACACGGUGGAUGCCCUGGCAGUCAGAGGCGAUGAAGGACGUGCUAAUCUGCGAUAAGCGUCGGUAAGGUGAUAUGAACCGUUAUAACCGGCGAUUUCCGAAUGGGGAAACCCAGUGUGUUUCGACACACUAUCAUUAACUGAAUCCAUAGGUUAAUGAGGCGAACCGGGGGAACUGAAACAUCUAAGUACCCCGAGGAAAAGAAAUCAACCGAGAUUCCCCCAGUAGCGGCGAGCGAACGGGGAGCAGCCCAGAGCCUGAAUCAGUGUGUGUGUUAGUGGAAGCGUCUGGAAAGGCGCGCGAUACAGGGUGACAGCCCCGUACACAAAAAUGCACAUGCUGUGAGCUCGAUGAGUAGGGCGGGACACGUGGUAUCCUGUCUGAAUAUGGGGGGACCAUCCUCCAAGGCUAAAUACUCCUGACUGACCGAUAGUGAACCAGUACCGUGAGGGAAAGGCGAAAAGAACCCCGGCGAGGGGAGUGAAAAAGAACCUGAAACCGUGUACGUACAAGCAGUGGGAGCACGCUUAGGCGUGUGACUGCGUACCUUUUGUAUAAUGGGUCAGCGACUUAUAUUCUGUAGCAAGGUUAACCGAAUAGGGGAGCCGAAGGGAAACCGAGUCUUAACUGGGCGUUAAGUUGCAGGGUAUAGACCCGAAACCCGGUGAUCUAGCCAUGGGCAGGUUGAAGGUUGGGUAACACUAACUGGAGGACCGAACCGACUAAUGUUGAAAAAUUAGCGGAUGACUUGUGGCUGGGGGUGAAAGGCCAAUCAAACCGGGAGAUAGCUGGUUCUCCCCGAAAGCUAUUUAGGUAGCGCCUCGUGAAUUCAUCUCCGGGGGUAGAGCACUGUUUCGGCAAGGGGGUCAUCCCGACUUACCAACCCGAUGCAAACUGCGAAUACCGGAGAAUGUUAUCACGGGAGACACACGGCGGGUGCUAACGUCCGUCGUGAAGAGGGAAACAACCCAGACCGCCAGCUAAGGUCCCAAAGUCAUGGUUAAGUGGGAAACGAUGUGGGAAGGCCCAGACAGCCAGGAUGUUGGCUUAGAAGCAGCCAUCAUUUAAAGAAAGCGUAAUAGCUCACUGGUCGAGUCGGCCUGCGCGGAAGAUGUAACGGGGCUAAACCAUGCACCGAAGCUGCGGCAGCGACGCUUAUGCGUUGUUGGGUAGGGGAGCGUUCUGUAAGCCUGUGAAGGUGUGCUGUGAGGCAUGCUGGAGGUAUCAGAAGUGCGAAUGCUGACAUAAGUAACGAUAAAGCGGGUGAAAAGCCCGCUCGCCGGAAGACCAAGGGUUCCUGUCCAACGUUAAUCGGGGCAGGGUGAGUCGACCCCUAAGGCGAGGCCGAAAGGCGUAGUCGAUGGGAAACAGGUUAAUAUUCCUGUACUUGGUGUUACUGCGAAGGGGGGACGGAGAAGGCUAUGUUGGCCGGGCGACGGUUGUCCCGGUUUAAGCGUGUAGGCUGGUUUUCCAGGCAAAUCCGGAAAAUCAAGGCUGAGGCGUGAUGACGAGGCACUACGGUGCUGAAGCAACAAAUGCCCUGCUUCCAGGAAAAGCCUCUAAGCAUCAGGUAACAUCAAAUCGUACCCCAAACCGACACAGGUGGUCAGGUAGAGAAUACCAAGGCGCUUGAGAGAACUCGGGUGAAGGAACUAGGCAAAAUGGUGCCGUAACUUCGGGAGAAGGCACGCUGAUAUGUAGGUGAAGUCCCUCGCGGAUGGAGCUGAAAUCAGUCGAAGAUACCAGCUGGCUGCAACUGUUUAUUAAAAACACAGCACUGUGCAAACACGAAAGUGGACGUAUACGGUGUGACGCCUGCCCGGUGCCGGAAGGUUAAUUGAUGGGGUCAGCGCAAGCGAAGCUCUUGAUCGAAGCCCCGGUAAACGGCGGCCGUAACUAUAACGGUCCUAAGGUAGCGAAAUUCCUUGUCGGGUAAGUUCCGACCUGCACGAAUGGCGUAAUGAUGGCCAGGCUGUCUCCACCCGAGACUCAGUGAAAUUGAACUCGCUGUGAAGAUGCAGUGUACCCGCGGCAAGACGGAAAGACCCCGUGAACCUUUACUAUAGCUUGACACUGAACAUUGAGCCUUGAUGUGUAGGAUAGGUGGGAGGCUUUGAAGUGUGGACGCCAGUCUGCAUGGAGCCGACCUUGAAAUACCACCCUUUAAUGUUUGAUGUUCUAACGUUGACCCGUGAUCCGGGUUGCGGACAGUGUCUGGUGGGUAGUUUGACUGGGGCGGUCUCCUCCUAAAGAGUAACGGAGGAGCACGAAGGUUGGCUAAUCCUGGUCGGACAUCAGGAGGUUAGUGCAAUGGCAUAAGCCAGCUUGACUGCGAGCGUGACGGCGCGAGCAGGUGCGAAAGCAGGUCAUAGUGAUCCGGUGGUUCUGAAUGGAAGGGCCAUCGCUCAACGGAUAAAAGGUACUCCGGGGAUAACAGGCUGAUACCGCCCAAGAGUUCAUAUCGACGGCGGUGUUUGGCACCUCGAUGUCGGCUCAUCACAUCCUGGGGCUGAAGUAGGUCCCAAGGGUAUGGCUGUUCGCCAUUUAAAGUGGUACGCGAGCUGGGUUUAGAACGUCGUGAGACAGUUCGGUCCCUAUCUGCCGUGGGCGCUGGAGAACUGAGGGGGGCUGCUCCUAGUACGAGAGGACCGGAGUGGACGCAUCACUGGUGUUCGGGUUGUCAUGCCAAUGGCACUGCCCGGUAGCUAAAUGCGGAAGAGAUAAGUGCUGAAAGCAUCUAAGCACGAAACUUGCCCCGAGAUGAGUUCUCCCUGACUCCUUGAGAGUCCUGAAGGAACGUUGAAGACGACGACGUUGAUAGGCCGGGUGUGUAAGCGCAGCGAUGCGUUGAGCUAACCGGUACUAAUGAACCGUGAGGCUUAACCUUACAACGCCGAAG